rnacentral:rRNA from 1 species
AGUGAACGCUGGCGGUAGGCCUAACACAUGCAAGUCGAACGGCAGCACAGUAAGCGCUUGCUCUUACGGGUGGCGAGUGGCGGACGGGUGAGGAAUACAUCGGAAUCUACUUUUUCGUGGGGGAUAACGUAGGGAAACUUACGCUAAUACCGCAUACGACCUACGGGUGAAAGCAGGAGAUCUUCGGACCUUGCGCGAUUGAAUGAGCCGAUGUCGGAUUAGCUAGUUGGCGGGGUAAAGGCCCACCAAGGCGACGAACCGUAGCUGGUCUGAGAGGAUGAUCAGCCACACUGGAACUGAGACACGGUCCAGACUCCUACGGGAGGCAGCAGUGGGGAAUAUUGGACAAUGGGCGCAAGCCUGAUCCAGCCAUACCGCGUGGGUGAAGAAGGCCUUCGGGUUGUAAAGCCCUUUUGUUGGGAAAGAAAAGCAGCAGGUUAAUACCCCGCUGUUCUGACGGUACCCAAAGAAUAAGCACCGGCUAACUUCGUG